rnacentral:rRNA from 1 species
ACGGAAGGCAGCAGUGAGGAAUAUUGGUCAAUGGGCGGAAGCCUGAACCAGCCUAGUCGCGUGAAGGAUGAAGGUAUUAUGUAUUGUAAACUUCUUUAGACGUAGAGAAAUAAGGGGAUCGUGAUCCCUGAUGCUAGUAUACGUAGAAUAAGGAUCGGCUAACUCCGUGCCAGCAGCCGCGGUAAUACGGAGGAUCCGAGCGUUAUCCGGAUUUAUUGGGUUUAAAGGGUGCGCAGGCGGCUUUUUAAGUCAGUGGUUAAAUCGUUGAGCUUAACUCCAUCCCGCCAUUGAUACUGGAGAGCUUGAUUGCGGUUGAGGUUGGCGGAAUUCGCCGUGUAGCGGUGAAAUGCAUAGAUAUGGCGAAGAACUCCGAUUGCGUAGGCAGCUGACCAAGCCGUAAAUGACGCUCAUGCACGAAAGUGCGGGGAUCGAACAGGAUUAGAUACCCUGGUA